AUACGUAGGUGGCGAGCGUUGUCCGGAAUUACUGGGUGUAAAGGGCGUGUAGGCGGGGAGGCAAGUCAGAUGUGAAAUACCGGGGCUUAACUCCGGGGCUGCAUCUGAAACUGUUUUUCUUGAGUGCCGGAGAGGAAAGCGGAAUUCCCAGUGUAGCGGUGAAAUGCGUAGAUAUUGGGAGGAACACCAGUGGCGAAGGCGGCUUUCUGGACGGUAACUGACGCUGAGGCGCGAAAGCGGGGGGAGCAAACAGGAUUAGAUACCCUGGUAGUCCACGCCGUAAACGAUGGAUACUAGGUGUAGGAGGUAUCGACCCCUUCUGUGCCGGAGUUAACACAAUAAGUAUCCCACCUGGGGAGUACGGCCGCAAGGUUGAA
rnacentral:rRNA from 1 species